rnacentral:rRNA from 1 species
GCAGUCGCCGCGGUAAUACGAAGGGUGCAAGCGUUAAUCGGAAUUACUGGGCGUAAAGCGUGCGUAGGCGGUUUGUUAAGUCUGUUGUGAAAUCCCCGGGCUCAACCUGGGAAUGGCAAUGGAUACUGGCAAGCUAGAGUGUGUCAGAGGAUGGUGGAAUUCCCGGUGUAGCGGUGAAAUGCGUAGAGAUCGGGAGGAACAUCAGUGGCGAAGGCGGCCAUCUGGGACAACACUGACGCUGAGGCACGAAAGCGUGGGGAGCAAACAGGAUUAGAUACCCGAGUAGUCCCUGUCUCUUAUAC